rnacentral:misc_RNA from 1 species
CACUGCUUCUCAGAAACUCACCUAGUAUCCAGUAACUAUACCUAAUUCAAACGUUUUAGCACUAGUAACACCAGCAUAGUACGUAGCAUGGUACAUUGACAUUACUCUCUCCAUAGCAAGCCUUGGGCUUCUACCUGCGGCUAGCCAAGUUUUUGUCAAUGGAUGCACGGCUACCCUGAUGAAUACAAAAUUUUAUACGCUGCACAGAACGCAAAGACUCUUAUUUGAAAGGUACACAGUUGCAGCAUUAAUCCAGAAUCCACAAAAUCUUGCUUGCUUAAAUUUUUCUGUCGUCUGUACAAUAUCCAAUUUAUCAGUGUUCUGCACUUAAGUUUAGACAGAGAACUAGAAUGUCUUCCAUGAAUGAAGGCCCAAAAACCUUUCAUCCAACAACUUGGAGAAUAUUGUUACAAAUUCCACCCUUGGUAACUGUCUCUAUCUGAGGAUCAAUCUUCCAAUGGCCAUCGACAAUGAAUUUUAUCUCAUAUACACCUGGAUAAAGCCACAGCAUUGUUGACCAAAAUCUGGAUUUCCUUGAUCCUGUAGUAUCUGAAUUGCUAGAAGAUGGCUGAGGAUCCAUUUUAAUCGGGUGAUGCCAACCACUGAAGCUACCUGCCACCUCCACAAUUUCACCAUCCCCAGUGUAUUGGAUUUUAACCUCCACCAAUCCAGAAAGGCUUUCUUCAGCAGCAAGUAGUUCAACAUCUUUUUCAGAGAUAAGUUUUUGAGCUUUGCUAAUCUCUCUUUCAGCCUUAGUUUGUAAAUCAGAUAAAGCAAGCUUUUCCUUCUCAAUCUGUUCCUUCAAACGGGAUAGUUCCAACUCUUUUUGACG